GAUGAACGCUGGCGGCGUGCCUAAUACAUGCAAGUCGAGCGAACAGAUAAGGAGCUUGCUCCUUUGACGUUAGCGGCGGACGGGUGAGUAACACGUGGGUAACCUACCUAUAAGACUGGAAUAACUCCGGGAAACCGGGGCUAAUGCCGGAUAACAUUUAGAACCGCAUGGUUCUAAAGUGAAAGAUGGUUUUGCUAUCACUUAUAGAUGGACCCGCGCCGUAUUAGCUAGUUGGUAAGGUAAUGGCUUACCAGGGCAACGAUACGUAGCCGAACUGAGAGGGUGAUCGGCCACACUGGAACUGAGACACGGUCCAGACUCCUACGGGAGGCAGCAGUAGGGAAUCUUCCGCAAUGGGCGAAAGCCUGACGGGGCAACGCCGCGUGAGUGACGAAGGGUUUCGGCUCGUAAAACUCUGUUAUUAGGGAAAAACAAACGUGUAAGUAACUGUGCACGUCUUGACGGUACCUAAUCAGAAAGCCACGGCUAACUACGUGCCAGCCGCCGCAGUAA
rnacentral:rRNA from 1 species